rnacentral:rRNA from 1 species
UACGUAGGGUGCAAGCGUUAAUCGGAAUUACUGGGCGUAAAGCGUGCGCAGGCGGCUCUGCAAGACAGAUGUGAAAUCCCCGGGCUUAACCUGGGAACUGCAUUUGUGACUGCAAGGCUAGAGUACGGUAGAGGGGGAUGGAAUUCCGCGUGUAGCAGUGAAAUGCGUAGAUAUGCGGAGGAACACCGAUGGCGAAGGCAAUCCCCUGGACCUGUACUGACGCUCAUGCACGAAAGCGUGGGGAGCAAACAGG